CGGUAAGGUGGAAACGGAUAGAGCUAGCGUAUCUAGCUUGUAUUCAGCUGCCCUGGUCUGGGUGCCCUGUCUGCUGGUCCGGCUUCGGCCAGUUGGCGGGUGUCUCCCGGCUCUUGGUGGUGCAUUUGCAAGUGGAGUGCGCUGAGGCCUGUGGGGUAGCGGUUGGAAGUGCGUCUUGAGGAUACCUUUCGGGGUAAAACCCGGGCGUACCUAAGACUGUUUGCCCUGCUUGUACAAUGAGCGUGGCCAACGGGUUUGGCUGGGGCUGAGCUGGUCGUCGGUUACGGUCGCAUGCGACACGUGCUGGUGUCUGGUUUGGUCUCGGUCCGGCUCCCUCGCUCGCCCUCGGUGUAAAAGCUAGUCAUCUAUCCGACCCGUCUUGAAACACGGACCAAGGAGUUUAGCGUAUACGCGAGUCAUUGAGUGGAAAACUCAAAGGCGCAAUGAAAGUAAAGGUAUCCCUUGUGGAGCUGAUAUGCGACCUCGGGUACCUC
rnacentral:rRNA from 1 species